CUCAGCAGGGAGAGACUGUAAAGGAGAUAAUAUUCUACUGCAGAGAGAAACCCUGCUGGGAGCAGCUCAGGGGAGAGCUCUGAGACAGGGCUUAAACAGACAAGAAGCUAACUAGGAGGCUUCAUAGGAAGUAGGUUAGGUUCCUGUAGGGGAGGCCCUGAGGUAGGAUCAGUAAAAGCAAAGCCUGAGGGGGGUGGGAAGACUUAUGAGUUUAGUAGAGAAGAGAGAAGCUAGAGGCCUGAGAACCAAAAUGAGGCUGUGUUAGCACAGACAGUGGGGAAGUAGCACAAGAAGGCUUGGAGUUGGACCUUGUUACCCUGGAAGGAAACUGAACUUUACAUGACUUAGCCGGAGGACAGAGCCACAGAAGACCCAAUGAGCCGCAGAUAGCCUGCAAGAGGUGCCAAAGAUGAGGUUCCCUUGCAGCGUGGCACCCUUACAUCAGUGGGUUCUAUGGGUGAUCAUGCUGCCUUCCGCAAUGGUGGUUAUGUCUCCUCUGGAAUGCCAAUCAAUACACAUCACAAUCACAUAUUACAUCUCUUAAGCUGUUCAGAAACAUCACAGCAAGCAGACUUCAGUUCCUUGUCCCUAGUCAGAUGACAAAUUACACUUCUUCCUUUUGCCAGCUACUUAAUCAGCUGCAGGAGAAAAGAAAAUAAAAAUGGCGUCUGAGUGAUCUGAUUUAUAAUGACUCUUCUCAGUGGAGUUCAUUCUCUUCGUAAUCUUUACUUCAGCCAGAGACGACGGGGAGUUUUACUCUACUUGCCUGAACCCAAACCCUGCACUUUGGAGAUAUUUGAACCUGAAUCCAAAUUUGACAGAAGGCUCAUGUCAUUAUAAUGGGAUGCACCAAACCUCUGUAUCUGAUUUCUUCUCCCUCCCGCACUUCCUAGGUCCAAACUUAACAGCUUUGGUCCAUAUCUCUUUUUAAUGCUUCCUUUUUCAAAACAAAGAGACUGUGUCAAGAACUGUUUCCAAGCAUGCUGAGGUUGCUUUCAGAACACACAGUGUGGGUUGUGCUCAUCUUGUGCAUAGAGGAAUAAGGUCAGUGCCUUAUAGCAGAAGGAAUCGUGAGCCAGCUGUAGGAGUUUGCCACUCUCUGAAGACAAUGAGACAGCAGGCCAUUAAUGGAUCCUUCUACCCCCAAGAAUUUCUAGGUUGGAUGAAUCGAUGGAAAAAGGGUUUUAGCAGCCAGGAUCCUUAGUGAUUCCUGCUGCUUCAGUGGGAGUGGUUUCAGUAACACCAACUUCAAGUGCUCAGAGAUCAUGAUUCAGGCCCCCAAAAUCAGGAGAUUGGCUUAAAAAAAUAUAAGAUUUUUAAUCAGUUGCAUUCUGGGUUUUGAGCCUUUAGUGUUCACGUUUUUCAAGUUUUUCUCUGCAACUGAGACCAUGUAUACCCUAGAGAGCUUACAGCAGCACAGCUGUACCGAUGCAGCUGUGCUGCUGUAAGAUCUCCCAGGUAGCCACUUUAAGCUAAUGGGAGAGAGGUUUCCUGUUGAUGUAAUUAAGCCACCCCCAAAUGAGCAGCGGUAGCAUGUCAGCAGGAGACGCUCUCCUGCUGACAUAGCACUGUUGACACCAGUGCUUCUGUUGGUGUAACUUGUCGCUCAGGGUGUGUUUUUUCACGCCCGAGUGACAUACUGACAAAGUUAUACUGACAAAAGUGCUAGCGUAGACAUAG